rnacentral:tRNA from 1 species
GCGGGAAUAGCUCAGCGGUAGAGCGCUAGCCUUCCAAGCUAGGGGUCGCGGGUUCGAAUCCCGUUUCCCGCU